rnacentral:snRNA from 1 species
GGAUGUGAGGGCGAUCUGGCUGCGACAUCUGUCACCCCAUUGAUCGCCAGGGUUGAUUCGGCUGAUCUGGCUGGCUAGGCGGGUGUCCCCCUCCUCCCUCACCGAUCCAUGUGCGUCCCUCCUGAAGUUGCCUGCUCAGUGGAAGAGGACGACCUCCCCCCCCGACCCCCGGGGAGAGGGAGAGGACCGGUCUUCGCUCAAGGGUCUACGAGUAGCUGCGCUCCCCUGCUAGAACCUCCAAACAAGCUCUCAAAAAGGUACCUCAAUAAUGAGGCUUCCAAAAGAAACAGUCUACACUUAAGUAUGGAAAGAGACCCCAUUAGU